AAAACUUUUAACAACGGAUCUCUUGGUUCUGGCAUCGAUGAAGAACGCAGCGAAAUGCGAUAAGUAAUGUGAAUUGCAGAAUUCAGUGAAUCAUCGAAUCUUUGAACGCACAUUGCGCCCCCUGGUAUUCCGGGGGGCAUGCCUGUUCGAGCGUCAUUUC
rnacentral:rRNA from 8 species